CUAUUUAAUUUUUUAACUCUGCCCGUCCCUUCCAUGGAAGUUAGUUUGUUUUAACUUCCCUUCGAAUGUGCUCUGGAAAAGGCCAUCCCCUAUCAAAUGGUUCCCUGGACUCUCUCUACAAUGUCCAACUCUUCACCAUCCACAUUUUUGCUAAGGGAAUUUGAUGUCAUAAAUUAUCUUCAAUCAUUAAUUCUCUAUGAACUAAAUUAAUCCUAAAAGCAGAUAUAGUGUGAAAAGGAGCUAUAUAAGUGAGAAACUCCGGAUUUCUCCACAAGAAGAAGACUACACCUGUAGUUUAAAGGAGUGUGUCUGAGUUUCCUGCAGCAUCAGGAGAGGGAGAGACAGACACCAUGAUUCCUACCAAGAUGCUACUGCUCUUGCUGUCAAUGGCUUUGCUGGCCUUGGGCUCUGCUCAGGGCAUCAGUGACGAUGAUGAAUUCUUGAAAGAAACCUCAGAGGAAUCACAAGUGAAAUCUCAAGAAGAAAAUGGAGUUGAGAACAGCAAGCCAGACAAAGAUGGUCCAGGUGGCCCACAGAGACCAGCAGGCCAACAAGUUCCAGGUGGUCAACAGCAACCAGGAGCCCAAAGUGGUCCAGGUGGCCCACAGGGUCCAGCAGGCCAACAAGGCCCAGGUGGCCAACAGCGUCCAGGAGCCCAAGGUGGUCCAGGUGGUCCACAGCGUCCAGCAGGCCAACAGCGUCCAGGAGCCCAAGGUGGUCCAGGUGGCCCUCAAAGUCCAGCAGGCCAACAGGGUCCAGGAGGUCAACAGCGUCCAGGAGUCCAAGGUGGUCCAGGUGGCCCACAAGGUCCAGUGGGCCAACAGGGUCCAGGAGGUCAACAGGGUCCAGGAGCCCAAGGUGGUCCAGGUGGCCCACAGGGUCCAGCGGGCCAACAGGGUCCAGGUGGCCAACAGCGUCCAGGAGCCCAAGGUGGUCCAAGUGGCCCACAGGGUCCAGCAGGCCAACAGGGUCCGGGUGGCCAGCAGCAUCCAGGAGCCCAGGGAUUUCCAGGUGGCACACAGGGUCCGGCAGGGCAACAUGGCCCAAGUGGCCAACAGGGCUCAGGUGGUCAAGGUGGUCCAGGUGGCCAGCGUGAUCAGCGUGGUGGCCAGUAACAAGGAAACCAAGUAAAGAGGACCUCCUGUGAUUUCCUAGAAAUUGAGAGAGAUCAACUGGUGACCAUGGAUUUUUCAGUCGUGUCCACGUGGCCUUCCUUCCUCUGACUUCAAAUUAUCAAUAAAGUCAUCAGCAUUAAA